rnacentral:rRNA from 1 species
AACGAACGCUGGCGGCAUGCCUAACACAUGCAAGUCGAACGAGACCUUCGGGUCUAGUGGCGCACGGGUGCGUAACGCGUGGGAACCUGCCCUUAGGUUCGGAAUAACUCCCCGAAAGGGGUGCUAAUACCGGAUAAUGUCUUCGGACCAAAGAUUUAUCGCCUUUGGAUGGGCCCGCGUUGGAUUAGCUAGUUGGUAGGGUAAAAGCCUACCAAGGCGACGAUCCAUAGCUGGUCUGAGAGGAUGAUCAGCCCCACUGGGACUGAGACACGGCCCAGACUCCUACGGGAAGCAGCAGUGGGGAAUAUUGGACAAUGGGCGAAAGCCUGAUCCGGCAAUGCCGCGUGAGUGAUGAAGGCCUUAGGGUUGUAAAGCUCUUUUACCCGGGAUGAUAAUGACAGUACCGGGAGAAUAAGCUCCGGCUAACUCCGUG